CAGGGUUUGGAACACUGAGACCAGCUCUUCAAAGCCCACUCAAAAGUAUCUAAUUCUUCCUGGAUGACAUUGUUGCUGUUGAUUGUAGAGAAAAUGCUGCAUUUCUAAAAGAAGAAGCCUCAAAAAGUACAAAUCACAGAGAAGAAUACUAAAUUCACGAGAGACCUCAUCUUACCAAGCUUCCUGGGAGUUCUGGAUGCAACUCACUUCACCAAAAGAGAUAAAAACAAUGCAUUUCUUCUUAAUGCGUUGCAACUUUGAAUUCUUACGUGUAUUCCUCUUUCCUUUAACAUGGAUUUGAACUGAAACCAGUGGU